rnacentral:rRNA from 1 species
GACGAACCGUGCGAACGUUGUUCGGAUUCACUGGGCUUAAAGGGCGCGUAGGCGGGUUACCAAGUUAGGGGUGAAAUCUUUCGGCUCAACCGGAAAACGGCCCCUGAUACUGGUAGUCUUGAGGGAGGUAGGGGCAGGUGGAACUUCCGGUGGAGCGGUGAAAUGCGUAGAUAUCUGGAGGAACACCGGUGGCGAAGGCGGCAUCCUGGACCGAUACUGACGCUGAGGAGCGAAAGCCAGGGGAGCAAACGGG